rnacentral:rRNA from 1 species
AGAGUUUGAUCCUGGCUCAGGACGAACGCUGGCGGCGUGCUUAACACAUGCAAGUCGAGCGGUAAGGCCCUUCGGGGUACACGAGCGGCGAACGGGUGAGUAACACGUGGGUAAUCUGCCCUGCACUCUGGGAUAAGCCUGGGAAACUGGGUCUAAUACCGGAUAUGACUCUUCAUCGCAUGGUGAGGGGUGGAAAGUUCCGGCGGUGCAGGAUGAACCCGCGGCCUAUCAGCUUGUUGGUGGGGUAAUGGCCUACCAAGGCGACGACGGGUAGCCGGCCUGAGAGGGCGACCGGCCACACUGGGACUGAGACACGGCCCAGACUCCUACGGGAGGCAGCAGUGGGGAAUAUUGCGCAAUGGGCGAAAGCCUGACGCAGCGACGCCGCGUGAGGGAUGACGGCCUUCGGGUUGUAAACCUCUUUCGCCAGGGACGAAGCGAGAGUGACGGUACUGGAGAAGAAGCACCGGCUAACUACGUGCCAGCAGCCGCGGUAAUACGUAGGGUGCGAGCUUGUCCGGAAUUAUUGGGCGUAAAGAGCUCGUAGGCGGUUUGUUGCGUCGCUGUGAAAACCUGCAGCUUAACUGUGGGCCUGCAGUCGAUACGGGCAGACUUGAGUUCGGUAGGGGAGACUGGGAAUUCCUGGUGUAGCGGUGAAAUGCGCAGAUAUCAGGAGGAACACCGGUGGCGAAGCGGGUCUCUGGGCCGAUACUGACGCUGAGGAGCGAAAGCGUGGGGAGCGAACAGGAUUAGAUACCCUAGUAGUCC